ensembl:lncRNA
CGAUGCAGAGGUGAGCUUCAGAAUACCUUCUGUUCUGCAGCACAGGCGGUGGCACUUUGGCUGCUGAUGCUAACUUUGGAGCUCACCAGGUAGGACGCCUACAGCAGCAGAGGUUUAAAAGUACAAAGUACAGAAAGCUGUGGAUUGGGAAUCCCACUCAUGUGCUUUCAGAUUUAUGCUGCUAUAGGUAUCCCACCUAGCCAGCUUAACAGUUAGCCGGGAUAUCUCUACAGCAGUAGCCAACACGUCAAAAUCUGUUGUGCAUCUGUGGCAGAACUUGGGCUUCUGUUCAGAUCAUCUGCAUCCCACUCCAGAUGCAAUCACUUGUUGUUUGAUCCUCGGAGAGAAAUCUGCAGUGAUGUAUUUUCAUCUCCAGGAAAUCCAUACCAAAAGUCAAACUUUUUUCUCUCCAGGAAAGCCAUGAGAGCAGCCCUGAAAGUCCAGGAAUUGAACUCUGCCUCCAGCAAGGCACAGAUUUUGAUUCCUCCUCUAGAAGAUCUGGUUCUGGUUAGCAAUGAAGAUUGAUUAUUACAAGAGAUGAACGACUACCCUGCUGGAGAUGCUCGUAUUCCGUUCAAUAGAGAGGCUUGCUUGUUUCUCAACACUUCAGAAAAGAAACGACUAUUGUGUUUGGUUUGGAAUGAAUGAAUAUAAUCUCAAAUCUUUUGUUUGCAUCACUGUGAGAUGUGCCAUUUUCUCAAAUGAAAGCCCGGUGUAUUUGCAGAGCAGGCAGCAGAGGAGCUGAGAAAAAACACCCUGAGUUCCCAGAGGUACAAGUGGACUCGUUUGUAUUUAUGGGUAAAUCAACAACAAGCUGAUGUGAUUAAACAGUGACUCCAUCAGUGACUUGGCCCUGUUCUUUUCUCCAUCUGGUAGGUAGGCAGGCAGAUUAAAUUUAUGCCAUGUGUUUAUUUUUCCUGUAACAAAAUGAGUUGCAUUUAUAUUUCUAGUCACUAUGAGGUGGUAACAACCUUACAAAAUAUAUUGAUUCACGUUAAAAAAUGAGGAGUUAGCAGGAACACAAUGACAUGCCACCCAACGCACAAUGUUUUAUUUAAAAGAAGUGGCAGCACACCAUAUUUUUUAUUAAAAAAAAUCUCAAUUACAGACCUUAAAGAAAAUUAAAUUUAUAGUUGAGCUCAGAGUUUUGAAGCUACCAGUUGUUUCCUGGAAGUGACUUUGAAAUGAGUUUUGGGAAAUCAUUUUAGUAUUGACUUGGGCCAUAAUGGUUGGCUGUUGCUUUUUUGUGUAAGAUUGAUUAAAUUACUCUGAACAAGCUCCAAGUCCAUGUCCUUCUCGGAGGCCAAUUGUGAAUGACCAUAAUACACUCUCUAAAAAAUAUUUCAGAAAGUAAAUAAUCUCUAAACCUGGAAGCAUGUCAUUGCGUUCUUACAAGAAUAAGCAAAUGAAUUUCGUUCCUUGUCUUAACAUACAUCCCUUCUUCUUUUUAUACCACACCCUUUCUCUGGUUUUAAAAGGCUAGGGUUAUUUCCUUCUAUACAUUACAAUAAGAGAUAAUUUUGACUAAGAAAGGAGUAGCUAAGAAAUAAGUGUAUUGACAGUAAUAAGAAUUGGCAAUUGUACUCCUGAUUUCAGCCUUUAUCUGCCUUUCUGAAAUGUAGGACCCCUCUAGUUAUUUCUUCAUACUUCAGUAAACUCAAGUGAAAUUAGGACCACUUUAUAGUAGGCUCUAUACAAGCACAUGGGAAUGAAUGCUCUAAAUCUAAAAAAAAGCUUUGAAAAUAAAUGCCAAAUAUGCAGAGUCCCUAAACA